UGGGAAGUAUUGGACAAUGGCGAAGCUGAUCCAGCAAUGCCGCGUGAGGGAUGACGGCCUUCGGGUUGUAAACCUCUUUCGGUAGGGACGAAGCGCGAGUGACGGUACCUACUAAAGAAGCACCGGCCAACUACGUGCCAGCAGCCGCGGUAAUACGUAGGGUGCGAGCGUUGUCCGGAAUUAUUGGGCGUAAAGGGCUCGUAGGCGGUUUGUCGCGUCGGGAGUGAAAACCAGGUGCUUAACACCUGGCUUGCUUUCGAUACGGGCAGACUAGAGGUAUGCAGGGGAGAACGGAAUUCCUGGUGUAGCGGUGAAAUGCGCAGAUAUCGGGAGGAACACCGGUGGCGAAGGCGGUUCUCUGGGCAUGACCUGACGCUGAGGAGCGAAAGUGUGGGAGCGAACA
rnacentral:rRNA from 1 species